CCAAUCGGUGGGGAGACCGGGCGCGGGCCCGGGACCCCAGUCCACCCGCCGUGACUGGGCCGCCCCCAGCCCCCCCGAAGCCGCAGGGAGUGCCGCCCUGGCCCCGCGACUUCGUGAAGAGAGGCGCAAUGUUCGUGCAGGGCCUCCCUAGACCAGGGGAUCCCUUCCUUAAUCUCUCAUUUCCGUGUGGUGCCUUACGGUUUUCCAAGUCCUUCGCAGUUUACAGAAUGGACAGGCAGGACAGCGUUACUAUCGCCAGUCUUUUAGGGGCGCCGAGGAAAACACUGUGGAAUUGCAGCAUCUGCAAACGACGAAGAAGGACUUCAAAGAAUUAAUACCAUUAUGUGAGGAAAUGGACUACCAACAUAGUUCAAAGGAAGGACACACAUGUUGCAAGUUCAGGAGCACUCUGGAUCACCAACUGGAAGUUCAUGGAUCCCCAAGAUCACCUUCAGGUUCAAUGAUUUGUUAGAAGGACUCACAGAACUCAUUGACAGUUAUUACACUUACAGUUACAAUUUAUUGCAGCAAAAGGAUACAAAUUAAAAUCAGCCAAGAGAAAAAGUAUGUAGGAUAGGAUCUAUGAGAGUUCCAAUCAUGGAUCUUCCAGUUGUCCUUUCCCAGUGGAGUGGUGCAGCCAGUGCUAACAUAUUGCAGCAAUGAUGUGUGAUAAUACAUACAUGGUAUUGCUGACAAGGGAAGCUCACUUGAGUCUUAAUGUCCAAAGUUUUUACUGGGACUCAGUCAUGUAGGCCUGGUUCACUGCCCACAUGGCUGAUCUUAGUCUCCAGUCCCUCUAGAGGGGUACCCCAUGGCCCAAAGUACCCUCACCAUAAAUUACAUUUCUAAUAUAGACUAUCUAGCAUGGCCCAAGACCCCAAAGUAAACAUAUAUACUCUUAUCAGGCAGGCUAGUCCAAGGAUUUAGAUAUUACCUCCCAGCAGUUUAGGGCAAAGACCAAACUUUUCUUUGAGUAAGGUUAAUCUUCUACUGCAUGUGUGUCCUAAGCUUUUUUGCUUUUUAAAUUUCUUUUCCCAUUGCUAAUCUUAAUAGACACUUAUGUCUGACUGAACAAUAAUUUGUAAGCCAUGGAAAAUAGCUAGAGUAGUAUUAUAAGAUUCAAUCCAUAGAAGACAUUUUUAUGUCUAAUUAUUAAAGUAAACAUACAUGGAUUGACCUUAAACAUAUAUACUUGUUAAUUAUGAAAUAGCUUAUAUUGGGUUUUGGGGGUUUUUGCUUCCUAGCUGUAAUCUUUCCUAUCUCUGGUUCCUUACGACUCUUACACUGUCUCCAUAAUAUGUUUUCUUACACAUAUCUCCCCAAGCCAACAGAAUAUAAGAGUACCCACUGUGUUUAAGACAUUAUUUUAGGGUCUGGGUAUUCAGGAGUAACCAAGACAGACAAUAAAAACUUGUUUUCUUGAAAGAGCUUUUCUGUGAUCUGUUAAAAAUCCAACAAUGUUUUGAACAGAUUAAUGAUCCUGUUUUAUGCCUGUUUUAGAUAUUAGAAAAAUAAGUCUCAUGGUCCUUAAAUGACAUCACCAAAACCAUAUCUUAAGCUUUUGGCAAAACCAGGUCUAGGAGGUCUUCUGAUUUACAGCCCAGGGUUCUCUGCACUAAGUCAUUCAAAGUUGUGUUAAAUAAAUCUCCAAGUUGUCCCUAAGGUAAACAUUUGGAAUAAAAACGUUAAAACAAUAUAGAAUAGAGAGUUGGGUAUUGUUAUGCUGUUCCAGUACCAGAUCUAACACUUACUAGCUGUGUACACUUUGGGUACAUUCCUUAUUUUCCCUGGUUGUCAGUUAAUGGUACUAACCUAGAAGGUUGUUAUAAGUGUAGAGACAUAGCCCUUCAAAGUUGUUAGCCCAUAAUAAGUGCUCAAUAAGUGUUGGCUUUCAUUAUUAAUCAUGUUAUCCAGAAGGGUAUGGGUGAAGGUUCUAGCAGAUAGAAGGCAGAAAAGGCUGGGGAGUUCUCUGUAAGUAUUUUUUGAGAUAAUAGGAGGAGAGUUGAAAGUUGGUGGCUGCUCUCAGUUCUUUCUCCUUUUGCUCUAGAAUGUCUCCCACUUGUCCCCUUUAGAACCUAGAGGCUUCUCAGAAAUUUAAAUAAACCUAUAUAGUGCAUACUGUUAUGGGUUAAUUGGGUAACCCCCCCCCCAAUUCAUAUGUUGAAAUCCUAACCGCCAAUAACUCAGAAGGUGACCUUAUUUGAAGAUAGGAUGUUACCAAGUUAAAAUGAGGUCAUUAUGGUGGGCCUGACGCCAUUAUGACUGAUGUUCAUAUAAAAAGGAAAUCUGGGGACAGACUGCAUGCAGGGAGAAUGUCAUAUGAAGACAAUGGCAGAGAUUGGGGUGAUGCCUGGAGUAGAAGCACAAUAUGUGGGCAUCUGUUUCUUGAAUGAAUGGAUGGAUGAAUGAAUCAACCAGGUAGCUUUAGGGGGAAAAAAAAUACAAUAAAUGGAACAUUAUAGCUGUGGAAAGCCCUGGGCUUUGGAGUUUGAAAUGGGCAUGUUGGUCUCAUUCAUCAAGUUACUCACAGUUUGACAUCGGGCAAGACACACAGCUUCUGUGAGCCUCAAUUUCAUCAUCUUUGUUAGGAUCAAAGGCAUUAAAAUUUGAUGUACAUAGAAGAAAUUGGUUAAAAAAAAUUCCCCCCAACUCUGAAUUAUUUCACCAUUUUUUAAAGGACUGUAGCGCUC